rfam:Myotis brandtii contig182083, whole genome shotgun sequence.
ACCAUCUUUUUCUUGGGGUUGUGCUACUGUCCAAUGAACGACUAGUGAGGGCAGUCCAAAAAAAUAAAAUAAAAUAAAUAAAUAAAUGAAAAG